CCGUGGCGCCUGCCAUUUUUCCUCGCCAAAAGUCCCCAUAUGAUGUGUCUUGGGUGCAACAUUUCACAAGGGGACUUCCGGCGAGGAACAACGGCAGGCGCCACGG